AACGAACGCUGGCGGCGUGCCUAACACAUGCAAGUCGAACGAGAAAGGGGCUUCGGUCCUGAGUAAAGUGGCGCACGGGCGAGUAACACGUAGGUAACCUGCCUCUAAGAUUGGGAUAACCUGUCGAAAGACGAGCUAAUACCGAAUAAGACCACGGUUCCCUCGGGAGCAGGGGUCAAAGGUAGCCUCUACUUGUAAGCUAUCACUUAGAGAUGGGCCUGCGUACCAUUAGCUAGUUGGUGGGGUAACGGCCUACCAAGGCAAAGAUGGUUAGCUGGUCUGAGAGGAUGAUCAGCCACACUGGAACUGAGACACGGUCCAGACUCCUACGGGAGGCAGCAGUGGGGAAUAUUGCGCAAUGGGCGAAAGCCUGACGCAGCAACGCCGCGUGAGUGAUGAAGGCCUUCGGGUCGUAAAGCUCUGUCGGAGGGAACGAAUGCUCCUGAGGUUAACAGCCUCGGGAAGUGACGGUACCCUCAAAGGAAGCACCGGCUAACUCUGUGCCAGCAGCCGCCGUAAGAC
rnacentral:rRNA from 1 species